rnacentral:sRNA from 1 species
GUUGGGUGGGGUGGUCCAUGCCUGUAAUCCCAGAUACUCAGGAGGCCGAGGCAGGAGGAUCUCAAGUUUGAGGCCAGCCUGAGCAACUUAGUGAGACCCUGUCUCAA